rnacentral:rRNA from 1 species
GACAGAGGGUGCAAACGUUGUUCGGAAUUACUGGGCGUAAAGAGCGUGUAGGCGGCCAGGUAGGUCUGCUGUGAAAACCCGAGGCUCAACCUCGGGCCUGCAUUCGAUACGGGCUGGCUAGAGUACUGCAGGGGAGACUGGAAUUCCUGGUGUAGCGGUGAGAUGCGCAGAUAUCAGGAAGAACACCCGUGGCUAAGGCGGCUCUCUAGUACGGUACUGACGCUGAGACGCGAAAGCGUGGGGAGCGAACAGG